rnacentral:rRNA from 1 species
CCUACGGGUGGCAGCAGUGAGGAAUAUUGGUCAAUGGACGAGAGUCUGAACCAGCCAAGUAGCGUGAAGGAUGACUGCCCUAUGGGUUGUAAACUUCUUUUAUAUGGGAAUAAAACGUUCCACGUGUGGGAUUUUGUAUGUACCAUAUGAAUAAGGAUCGGCUAACUCCGUGCCAGCAGCCGCGGUAAUACGGAGGAUCCGAGCGUUAUCCGGAUUUAUUGGGUUUAAAGGGAGCGUAGGUGGAUUGUUAAGUCAGUUGUGAAAGUUUGCGGCUCAACCGUAAAAUUGUAGUUGAAACUGGCAGUCUUGAGUACAGUAGAGGUGGGCGGAAUUCGGGGUGUAGCGGUGAAAUGCUUAGAUAUCACGAAGAACUCCGAUUGCGAAGGCAGUUCACUGGACUGCAACUGACACUGAGGCUCGAAAGUGUGGGUAUCAAACAGGAUUAGAUACCCUAGUAGUC